GGGGCUAUAGCUCAGUUGGUAGAGCGCAUGAAUGGCAUUCAUGAGGUCACCGGUUCGAAGCCCGGUUAGCUCCACCA
rnacentral:tRNA from 1 species